rnacentral:rRNA from 1 species
UACGAGGGGGGCGAGCGUUGUUCGGAAUUAUUGGGCGUAAAGGGCGCGUAGGCGGCUUGCCAAGUCAGGGGUGAAAUCUUUCGGCUCAACCGGAAAACAGCUUCUGAUACUGGCGGGCUUGAGGAGGGUAGGGGCAGAUGGAACUUCCGGUGGAGCGGUGAAAUGCGUAGAUAUCGGAAGGAACGCCGGUGGCGAAAGCGAUCUGCUGGACCCUUUCUGACGCUGAGGCGCGAAAGCCAGGGGAGCAAACGGG